UUUCCGUAGGUGAACCUGCGGAAGGAUCAUUACCGAGUGGAAGGCACUUGCUGCCUAACCUCACACCCUUUGACUUGAUUAAAGACCCGCUCACUACCUCGGGACGCACUACGGCUGUGACAGCUUGUAGAGUCCCGGUGGUAAACUCUUACCAACUCUCGUCUUAGUUGUCUAAGUGGAUGCCUUUUGGAAUUAGAAAAAAACUUUCAACAACGGAUCUCUUGGCUCUAGCAUCGAUGAAGAACGCAGC
rnacentral:misc_RNA from 1 species